rnacentral:tRNA from 1 species
CAUAAAAUAGUUUAAAAUAAAAUAUUAAUUUUGGAGAUUAAUGAUAUAAUUAAUUUAUUUUUUUGA